UACUCCUACGGGAGGCAGCAGUGGGGAAUCUUAGACAAUGGGCGCAAGCCUGAUCUAGCCAUGCCGCGUGAGCGAUGAAGGCCUUAGGGUUGUAAAGCUCUUUCAGUGGGGAAGAUAAUGACUGUACCCACAGAAGAAGCCCCGGCUAACUCCGUGCCAGCAGCCGCGGUAAUA
rnacentral:rRNA from 1 species